CCAUUCCACCAUUCUGUCUGGCCCACUGCUUCUUACAAGAUUAAGAUAGCAGAUCCCAUGGGUGUAGCUGUAGACCAAGACCUGGAAUUAACACAUCAGAAGAUUCUAUGAGGAAACCCAUUUAAAAAUAGGAUGCAUUUUUUUCUUUUCUGCACAGGGAGAAAGUUUAAGCUCUCCUCACUAUGAGUUUUCAAGUAUAAAAGACUUUUUCUUCCACGAUUUUGAGAACAACUGAGGACUCUUGUGACCAGGACAACAGGGAAGCUUGCAGCAAGAUAGCUCCAGGUUGGAUUCAUGCUUCGCACCCCAAGGGCUGCCAGCCAGAGAGGAGGAGAAGCAAUCACUCCUGCAGUUUCUGAACACUACACAGACGCCAGGUAGCUUCUUCAGGAGAACAGCCCUCUGAGGAGGCAGGAAGAGGAGGCUUAUCUUUCAGCAGCCGGAGCUGCUGAGAUCUCUGGGCAGAUUAAGCUCUCUCUAAUGGAUGGGCUCCAGCCUGGCACAUUCAGUGGAGAGGGAUCCACUCAUCCAUCAUCAACAUAAUAUGGUCCUCCCUGCACUUCACAGUGUCCUCUUGCUAUUGAAAAGGCUUUUUUGCCUUCUCAAGUUUCUUUGUCAACAGUCUACAGGAAGAAGCUCAGGCCGCCACCGGCAGAGGUGAAUGCAAGCUCACGUUUUAUUUCUGACUGCUUAAUCAUUGCCUCGAUCACUGCUCAAGCUCUGCCUUUGUUUCCAAAGGUUACCUGUGGGAAAACUUCUUUUUCUAUGCUGAAAUUAAUAGGGAGGCAAAGAUGAGUCCACUGAUAAGCAGAGCCUUAAAACUCACAUAGAGAAACAACUUUGCUGGAGUGUGUGUGAGUGAACCACUAAGGAAUCAGAUAGUGUGAUGGCAGUUAUCAUUGCAGGUUAAGACAUUUCUACAAAUAUUUCGACAUCUCCAUAUACUCACUCCUUUCCCCCCUGAGUGGAGAGACUCAGCUACCAAGAGAGGAAGCUCAAAAAAAACAGAAGCUUCAAACAAACAACCAACCAAAAAAAAAAAAAAACUGUGGGUUCAUCAGAGGUGGUAGGGAAGACAAAAACAUGGGAGGAGCAGCUGGGCACGGUGGCUCAAGCCUGUAAUCCCAGCACUUUGCGAGGCUGAGGUGGGUGGAUCACCUGAGGUCAGGAGUUCGAGACCAGCCUGGCCAACAUGGUGAAACCCCAUCUCUACUAAAAAUACAAAAAAUUAGCCGGGCGUUGUGGUACGCACCUGUAAUCCCAGCUACUCCGGAGGCUGAGGCAGCAGAAUCGCUUGAACCCAGGAGGCAGAGGUUGCAACGAGCCAAGAUCGCACCAUUGCACUCCAGCCUGGGCAACAAGAGCGAAACUCCAUCUAAAAAAAACAAACAAGCAAACAAACAAAAAACACGGGAGGAGCAAUAAAAAGGAAUCCAUGCUUUGAUUUUUUUUUUUAGUGAGAGGAAGGGAAGGCUGCUGCCUCUCACUUCUCCCUGUUUUGUUGUUCUUUUAAGUAGCAUGUGUCACUCUGUAUAUAUCCUGUCCAUGUGUUUUCUUUUAUUAUUAUUUGUCCACUUGCCUAGAAUGAAAACUCCAUGGGA
rnacentral:lncRNA from 1 species